GAUGAAUGCUGGCGGCGUGCCUAACACAUGCAAGUCGAGCGGUAACAGGAGUAGUUUACUACUUGCUGACGAGCGGCGGACGGCUGAGUAACGCGUGGGAACAUGCCCCAAAGUGAGGGAUAAGCUCCAGAAAUGGAGUCUAAUACCGCAUAUGAUCUUCGGAUUAAAGGAUUUAUCCGCUUUGGGAGUGGCCUGCGUACGAUUAGAUAGUUGGUGAGGUAAUGGCUCACCAAGUCGACGAUCGUUAACUGGUCUGAGAGGAUGAUCAGUCAGACUGGAACUGAGACACGGUCCAGACUCCUACGGGAGGCAGCAGUGAGGAAUCUUCCACAAUGGGGGCAACCCUGAUGGAGCAACGCCGCGUGCAGGAUGAAGGCCUUCAGGUCGUACACUGCUUUUAUAAGUGAAGAAUAUGACGGUAACUUAUGAAUAAGCACCGGCUAACUACGUGCCAGCCGCCGCCGUA
rnacentral:rRNA from 1 species